GAUGAACGCUGGCGGCGUGCUUAACACAUGCAAGUCGAGCGAAGCGCUUUUGCGGAUUUCUUCGGAUUGAAGCAACCGUGACUGAGCGGCGGACGGGUGAGUAACGCGUGGGUAACCUGCCUCAUACAGGGGGAUAACAGUUGGAAACGGCUGCUAAUACCGCAUAAGCGCACAGUACCGCAUGGUACCGUGUGAAAAACUCCGGUGGUAUGAGAUGGACCCGCGUCUGAUUAGCUAGUUGGUGGGGUAACGGCCUACCAAGGCGACGAUCAGUAGCCGACCUGAGAGGGUGACCGGCCACAUUGGGACUGAGACACGGCCCAAACUCCUACGGGAGGCAGCAGUGGGGAAUAUUGCACAAUGGGGGAAACCCUGAUGCAGCGACGCCGCGUGAGCGAUGAAGUAUUUCGGUAUGUAAAGCUCUAUCAGCAGGGAAGAAAAUGACGGUACCUGACUAAGAAGCCCCGGCUAACUACGUGCCAGCAGCCGCGGUAAUACGUAGGGGGCAAGCGUUAUCCGGAUUUACUGGGUGUAAAGGGAGCGUAGACGGCAUGGCAAGCCAGAUGUGAAAGCCCGGGGCUCAACCCCGGGACUGCAUUUGGAACUGUCAGGCUAGAGUGUCGGAGAGGAAAGCGGAAUUCCUAGUGUAGCGGUGAAAUGCGUAGAUAUUAGGAGGAACACCAGUGGCCCAGGCGGCUUUCUGGACGAUGACUGACGUUGAGGCUCGAAAGCGUGGGGAGCAAACAAGAUUAGAUACCCUGGUAGUCCACGCCGUAAACG
rnacentral:rRNA from 1 species